rnacentral:lncRNA from 1 species
UGAGUAUUUCUUGCAAUAAAACAAUAUGAAUAAUUAAAGAGCUAUGCAUUAACAAAAAUAAUAAUAAUAAACAUUCACGCAUCAUUUGCAUUUUUAAAAAAAAACAUACAAUAACAAAAACUCAUUCGUCCACCCUUGUUUCUGAGCAGAAAACAACACUUCAAAGUUGGCUUUCCGGUACAACACGCUGUAACACCCCAAAAUUUGCCCUCCUCAUUCAUGCAUUCAUUUAGCAUUUCAUAUUGCAUUUCAUCAUGUCAAUCAGAAUUAGAUCCGAAAAAAAAAAAACCGAAAAAAAAACGAAAAAA